rnacentral:rRNA from 1 species
UACGAAGGGGGCUAGCGUUGCUCGGAAUCACUGGGCGUAAAGGGUGCGUAGGCGGGUUUUUAAGUCAGGGGUGAAAUCCUGGAGCUCAACUCCAGAACUGCCUUUGAUACUGAAGAUCUUGAGUCCGGGAGAGGUGAGUGGAACUGCGAGUGUAGAGGUGAAAUUCGUAGAUAUUCGCAAGAACACCAAUUGCGAAGGCAGCUCGCUGGAACGUAACUGACGCUGAGACGCGAAAGCGUGGGGAGCAAACAGGG